UACGGAGGGGGCAAGCGUUAUUCGGAAUUAUUGGGCGUAAAGGGCGCGUAGGCGGCUAGAUGUGUCAAAGGUGAAAUCCCUCGGCUCAACUGAGGAACUGCCUUUGAAACUGAGGAUCUUGAGUUCGGGAGAGGUGAGUGGAACUGCGAGUGUAGAGGUGAAAUUCGUAGAUAUUCGCAAGAACACCAGUGGCGAAGGCGGCUCACUGGCCCGAUACUGACGCUGAGGCACGAAAGCGUGGGGAGCAAACAGG
rnacentral:rRNA from 1 species